GAAUAUUGGUACUCAAUUACCUGUAAUUAAUCAAGCUUUGCUUUCAUUAAAUAUAACGCCGUUGAAUAAAUAUGCAGUAAACGAUCCAUCUUAUUUAAGUAGCAAAUAUAAUGAUAUUUGUUCUACUUGUGCGAGACUAUUGAGUUUAGAUAAUGAAUGUAACAAUUACGAGAAUUCACUUAAUUACCAGAACAUUCUAGAAAAUCUUAAAACUAAAUUUGAUGAUCCAACUACUAAUCGAACUGAAAAAUUACAAAUUUUGACACUAUUGCCUUCUGAUUGGAGCAUACAAAUGAUUUGUGACGUAAUGGGUGCUACAAAACAUAUGGCAAUAGUGUCAAAACAUUUGAAAGAAAAUAAAGGGAUUUUGUCGAUGUCAGAAAGAAAAAAAGGACGACCCUUAACUAACGAAAUUAAAUCCAAGGUUAUAGAAUUUUAUCAAAGGGAUGAUAUUAGUAUAAAUUGAUCUGGCAAGAAAGAUUUUGUUUCUGUUAAAAGAGGUGAAGGACAAAGAGAGCACAUCCAGAAAAAACUUAUCUUAUGUAAUUUAAAAGAAUUGUAUCAAACUUUCAAGGAACAAUAUCCAAAUGAACUGAUAGGAUUUUCUAGCUUUGCAUCAUUAAGACCUGUGCAUUGUGUACUUGCCGGAUCUGUUGGCACUCAUACUGUUUGUGUUUGUUCUAUCCAUCAAAACGUCAAACUCAUGAUGUUAGGUUCUAAUUUACCAGCUUUAACUGGUCUUCUAACAGAUCCUUUAAUGCACUUUAGUGAUUGCUUCAAAAUUAUCUUAUGUGCCAAUCCAUCAUCUGAUUGUUACUUAUCAAAGUGUAAGCAUUGUCCCGAGAUUGAUGUUCUUCAAAAUGUCUAAGAGACCUCAUUUGAUGAAAAUGGCCAACAUGAUAUCUCAUAUAAAUAUUGGGUAUCUAAUCCUCGUUGCAGUCUUGAAACAAUUAUGAAGAACUCUUCAGAAUUCGUCGAAAUAUUCUCCAAUCAUAUUCACAAUUUAUUAUCGCAUGAUUUUAUUGCCAAACAACAAUCGGCUUUUAUGAAACAAACAAAACAAUCGUUGCAGGAUAAUGAGUUCUUAGCCGUUUGCGAUUUUGCAGAAAAUUACGCUUUUGUGAUACAGGAUGCAGGGCCAGGGUUUCAUUGGAACAAUAAUCAAGCAACGAUUUUUCCUGUUGUAAUCUAUUUCAAGCAGAACGGCGAACUUACUCACCGAAGUUUAGUCAUCAUAUCUGACAACAAUAAUCAUGACACUGUCGCUGUUUAUGUAUAUCUGAAAAUUGUUACCGAUUUUAUAAAAGAGUUAGUUCCCAAUGCAGCUAAAGUUUUUUACUUUUCGGAUGGAACACCGCAGCAAUUUAAAAACUUCAAGAAUUUCGUUAAUAUUUAUUAUCACAAAGAGGACUUCAACUUAGACACUGAGUGGCAUUAUUUCGUAACAGCACAUGGUAAGGGGCCAUGUAAUGGUAUUGGAGGAACGGUUAAAAGAAAAGCAGCGAGAGCAAGCCUUCAACGGCCAAUUGAUGACCAAAUAACAACAGUACAAGAGUUGUAUAACUGGGCAUCGAGACCAACAAGUCUACCGAAUAUUGUUACCAAAUUUUCACCUGAAAUAGACUACUUAGAAGCAAAAGAAAGAUGAGAUUUGCGAUACAAUACAGCUAAGACCAUUACGGGAAUUCAAAAAUUACAUACAAUUAUUCCAAAAAGCGACGGAGCUAUAUUAACUAAGCAGUGCUCUAGUUCAAAAAACAAUCGUUUAUGUACAAUUUUUAAAAGAACACGAAAAUAAAUAAAAAUGUUUGUUAUAAUUGCUCAUAAAUAGAAUUAUCUUUUACUUAUUGCUUUUGAAUCCCUACUCAGAACAAACAAAUAUCGAAAUCAAUUUAUAAUAAGUAAAAAAAAAAGUAUACAGUGUCAAAAAUCGGUACUGAUAAUAAUUUAUAGCGAAAAAAAUUUUUUUAAUUUUUAAAAAUAAGGAAAGAAUAGUAAUUAUAGAAGGCCCACUACCGAACAGGACUUAAAAGUUGCAGGAUGGAUAGAAGUUUAAAAUAGAAAAUCUUCAAGAAAAUCGAAGGGUACACACAGUUCUAAAAACACAAUUAAAAACUUAAAAUUUAAAAAUCUCGAUUAAAAACACUUUCAAUAUUUUUUAAAAAUUUUUUCUGUAAAACCCAUUUCAUGACAAAAAUUUUGAAAAAAAAAGUUGAAUUUCGACCAUUAUUAAGAAAGUUACGAGCAAAAAAACCAAAAAAAGAGCGGUUUAUUUGAAAAUACGAUGUUUUUUGAACCAGUGAUCCGAAAAAUCUAAAAAUUGACCAAGAAGCCUCUUUUGAGGGGUACUAAAAAAUACCAAAGAAAUAAGAAAAUAAAAAAAAAAGUUUUUGAAACCGUUUGGCGUGGAAUGCCCCAUAUAUAUAUGUAUAUACGUAAAUGUAUAUCCACAGAUUCAAAUAAAGAAGUUGAAUUUAAAUGAAAGCACGUUUUAUUUCCUAGAGAGUGUAAAGUGUAGUUUAUUGCUGAUAUUUUAUAUAUUUUUGCAUUUAUCAUACAUUCUUCUACAUUUACUAAAAAGACAUAAACAUACACGGUUUGGAGCGAAAGUGGCUGAUUAAAAGUAUCUAUAAGUAAUCAUUCUGGUGGACAAAAUAAGAAAUUACUUUCCGAACAACCCAAUUAUCGCGCGAUUAACUACGAAUAAAAGGAAAAAAAAUAGUUGAAAA